rnacentral:rRNA from 1 species
ACUUUUAACAACAGAUCUCUUAGUUCUAGCAUUAAUAAAGAACGCAGCGAAAUGCGAUAAGUAGUGUAAAUUAUAGAAUUUAGUAAAUUAUUAAAUCUUUAAACGCAUAUUGCGCCCCUUAGUAUUCUAUAGGGCAUGCCUGUUUAAGCGUUAUUUGUACCCUUAAGCUCUGCUUAGUGUUAGGUGUUUGUUCUACUUAGGACUUGCCUUAAAACAAUUAGUAGCUAGCACAUUAGCCUAGAGCGCAGCACAUUUUGCGCCUCUUGUUAUAGUUGUUAGCAUCUAUUAAGACACUUUUUAAGCUCUUAACCUUAGAUUAGGUAGGGAUACCCGCUAAACUUAAGCAUAUUAAUAAGCGGAGGAAAAGAAACUAAUAGGGAUUGCCCUAGUAACGGCAAGUAAAGCGGCAACAGCUUAAAUUUAAAAUCUAGCUCUUUUAGGGUCUAAGUUGUAAUUUGCAGAGGGCGCUUUAGCGUUAGUAGCAGUCUAAGUUCCUUAGAACAGGACGUCACAGAGGGUAAGAAUCCUGUACGUAGUUACUAGCCUUCGCUGUGUAAAGCCCCUUUAACAAGUUAAGUUAUUUAGGAAUGUAGCUCUAAAUAGGAGGUAAAUUUCUUCUAAAGCUAAAUACUAGCUAGAGACUAAUAGCGCAUAAGUAGAGUAAUUAAAAGAUAAAAAGCACUUUAGAAAGAGAGUUAAAUAGCACGUAAAAUUAUUAAAAGGGAAGCGCUUGCAGCUAGACUUGCCUAUAGUUACUUAUCUAGGCUUUUGUCUAGUGCACUCUUCUAUAGGCAGGCUAGUAUUAGUUUAGGCAGUUAGAUAAAGGUCUCUAUUACGUACCUCCCUUUAGGGAGGCCUUAUAGGGGAGACAACAUGCAACUAGCCUAGACUAAGGUCCGCGUAUCUGCUAGGAUGCUAGCGUAAUAGCUGUAAGUGGCCUAUCUUAAAACACAGACUAAGGAGUCUAACAUCUAUGCGAGUGUUUAGGUGUUAAGCCUAGACGCGUAAUAAAAGUAAAUAGAGGUGGGACCCCUUUUAGGGUGCACUAUUAACUAAUCCUAAUAUCUUUAGAAGGAUUUAAGUAAGAGCAUAGCUAUUAGGACCUAAAAGAUAGUGAACUAUGCUUAAAUAGGGUAAAGCUAGAGGAAACUCUAGUAGAGGCUCGCAGUGGUUCUAACGUGCAAAUCAAUCGUUAAAUUUAGGUAUAGGGGCGAAAGACUAAUCAAACUAUCUAGUAGCUAGUUCCUACUAAAGUUUCCCUUAGGAUAGCAGUAACGUAUUUAGUUUUAUAAGGUAAAGCGAAUAAUUAGAGGCCUAGGGGUUAAAAUAACCUUUACCUAUUCUUAAACUUUAAAUAUAUAAGAAGUCCUUGUUACUUAAUUAAACGUAGAUACUUAAAUAUACUAUUACUAGUAGGCCAUUUUUAGUAAGUAGAACUAGCGAUAUAGGAUAAACUAAACAUAGGGUUAAGGUGCUAGAAUGCACGCUUAUUAGACACUACAAAAGGUGUUAGUUUAUCUAGAUAGUAGGACAGUAGCUAUAGAAGUUAGAAUCUGCUAAGGAGUGUGUAAUAACUUACCUGCUAAAUAAACUAGCCCUAAAAAUAGAUGGCGCUUAAGCGUGUUACCUAUACCCCGCCGCUAGGGCAAGAUUUAAGCCCUAGCGAGUAGGUAGGCGUAGAGGCUCGUGACAAAGCCUUAGGGGUAACCCUAGGUAGAACGGCCUCUAGUGCAGAUCUUAGUAGUAGUAGCAAAUACUUAAAUAAGAACUUUAAGGACUAAAGUAGGGAAAGGUUCUGUGUAAACAGCAGUUAGACACAGGUUAGUUAAUCCUAAGAGAUAGGGUAAUUCUAUUUUAAUGUUGGCGCUUGCGCCGCGUCCUUAAAAGGGAAGCUAGUUAAUAUUCUAGCACCUAGAUGUAGAUUCUCCGCAGCAACGCAACUAAGAGCAGAGACCUUAGCGGGAGCCCUAAGAAGAGUUCUCUUUUCUUCUUAACAGUCUGUCACCCUAAAAUUAGUUUGUCUAGAGCUAGGGUUUAAUAGCUAGAAAAGCGCUGCACUUUUAUAGUAUUUAGUGCGCUCCUAACAAGCCUUAAAAAUCUGCUUAAAGAAAUAGUUUUUACGCUAGGUCGUACUUAUAACUACAGCAGGUCUCUAAGGUAAAAAGCCUCUAGUUAAUAGAACAAUAUAGAUAAGGGAAGUUAGCAAAAUAGAUCUAUAACUUUAGGAAAAGGAUUAGCUCUAAGGGUUAGGUACGUUAGGCCUUAGGGAGAAGCCUCUAGCGCAGAAGGGCACUAACUGCAAGGUAGGCGCCUCUUAGCGCUAGGGUGCAGACACCCUUAGCAGGUUUUGGCUGUCUAGCGUACGUUUAACAACUAACUUAGAACUAGUAUAGAUAAGAGGAAUCUAACUAUCUAAUUAAAAUAUAGCAUUGUAAUAGCUAGAAAGUAGUGUUAACGUAAUGUGAUUUCUGCCUAGUACUCUAAAUAUUAAAGCAAAGAGAUUUGACUAAGCGCGGGUAAAUAGCAGGAGUAACUAUAACUCUCUUAAGGUAGCUAAAUGCCUUGUUAUCUAAUUAGUAACGCGCAUAAAUAGAUUAACAAGAUUCCUACUAUCCCUAUCUACUAUCUAGCGAAACUACAGCUAAGGGAACAGGCUUGGCUAAAUUAGCAGGGAAAGAAGACCCUAUUAAGCUUAACUCUAGUUUAACAUUAUAAAAAGAUAUAGGGGGUGUAGAAUAGGUAGGAGCUUUAGCGCUAGUAAAAUACUACUACCCUUAUCGUUUUUUUACUUAUUCAAUAAAGCAGAGCUAGGCCUCACCGCCUAACUUCUAGCGUUUAAGGUCCUUUAUAGGCUAAUCUAGGUUAAAGACAUUGUUAGGUAGGGAGUUUAGCUAGGGUAGCACAUCUAUUAAACUAUAACGCAGGUGUCCUAAGGGGGACUUAUAGAGAAUAGAAAUCUCUAGUAGAGCAAAAGGGUAAAAGUCCCCUUAAUUUUAAUUUUUAGUGUAAAUACAAACUAUAAAAGUGUAGCCUAUUAAUCCUUUAGUCCCUUAAAAUUUAAGGCUAGAGGUGCUAGAAAAGUUACCACAGGGAUAACUAGCUUGUGGCAGCCAAGCGUUUAUAGCGACGUUGCUUUUUAAUCCUUUAAUAUUAGCUCUUCCUAUUAUACCAAAGUAGAAUUUAGUAAGCGUUAGAUUGUUCACCUGACUAAUAGGGAACGUAAGCUAGGUUUAGACCGUCGUAAGAUAGGUUAGUUUUACCCUACUAAUAACCUUGCCCUAAUAGUAAUACCGCUUAGUACAAGAGGAACCGCAGUUUUAGAUAAUUGGUUUUUGCGGCUGUCUAACUAGGCAUUACCGCGAAGCUACUAUCUGCUAGAUUAUAGCUAAACGCCUCUAAGUCAGAAUCCAUACUAGAAUAGGGUAAUUUCCGCCUGCACUAGUUAGAUACAAAUAGGCCUUUGGCCUAGAACCUUACUAGAUUAGCGUUAGCAGCCCUAUUAAAGUUAGAGUUAUUAGCUAGUAUAUUGCAAUUGUAUAGUGCGCAGGAUUAAAUCCUUUGCAGACAACUUAGUUGUCUGGCCGGGUCGUGUAAGUAGUUAAGUAGCCUUAUUGUUACAAGCUACUAAGCGUAAGCCCGUUGCUAGCUUAGUUAAAAUUAGGAUAUUAUACCCUCCUUAUUUGCAAAACUACUGCCUAAACGGCUGCUGUUAAUAGAAGGAAGAGGGCCAUAGCUAACAUGUUAUAUAGCAAUUGCAAGAUAGCAAGGGCUAGAGCUAGAAGCAAUCCUUACAAAAUAUACAAAAGAACAGGUUGUGUGUGUACGUACCUUAGGCAGUUAAAUUAUAGCAUAUAAAGAUUAAGAAAGGACAUAAAAUAAUCUAUACAUAUUUGUAGGUAGUGUUCUAUAACUUAGGGCGUUCUAUAACCCUUUAUUUUUUAGGGGUAGUGUUCUAUAACUUAGGGCGUUCUAUACUUAAAAAAUCUUAUAGGCUAUUCUAUAACUAUAGAUUAUUCUAAACCUUUAGGGCAUUCUAUUAAUGUUUUAAAAAAUCUAGUAGGCUAUUUUAUAAGCUUAUAGCGUUCUAUAACUUUAGGGCGUUCUAUAACUUAGGGCGUUCUAUAACUUAGGGCGUUCUAUAACUUUUUACUUCUUAGGGGUAGUGUUCUAUAACUUAGGGCGUUCUAUACUUAAAAAAUCUUAUAGGCUAUUCUAUAACUAUAGAUUAUUCUAAACCUUUAGGGCAUUCUAUUAAUGUUUUAAAAAAUCUAGUAGGCUAUUUUAUAAGCUUAUAGCGUUCUAUAACUUUAGGGCGUUCUAUAACUUAGGGCGUUCUAUAACUUAGGGCGUUCUAUAACUUUUUACUUCUUAGGGGUAGUGUUCUAUAACUUAGGGCGUUCUAUAACUUUUUACUUCUUAGGGGUAGUGUUCUAUAACUUAGGGCGUUCUAUACUUAAAAAAUCUUAUAGGCUAUUCUAUAACUAUAGAUUAUUCUAAACCUUUAGGGCAUUCUAUUAAUGUUUUAAAAAAUCUAGUAGGCUAUUUUAUAAGCUUAUAGCGUUCUAUAACUUUAGGGCGUUCUAUAACUUAGGGCGUUCUAUAACUUAGGGCGUUCUAUAACUUAGGGCGUUCUAUAACUUUUUACUUCU